rnacentral:rRNA from 1 species
AGUCGUAGCGGAGGAAGACUAACAAGGAUUCCUCUAGUAACGGCGAGUGAACGGGGAUUAGCCCAGCACCGAAUCCUGCAGGCUGGCCCUGUUAGGAAAUGUGGUGUUAAGGUAGUUGCUUGUGUUACGUGGCCUGUCCGAAGUCUACUUGAGUGUAGCUAUCCAGAGAGGGUGUAAGACCCGUACGGAUGGGCCUAGUGACGCUUGUGACUACUAUGGAGUCGGGUUGCUUGAGAAUGCAGCCUAAAGUGGGUGGUAAACUCCAUCUAAGGCUAAAUAUAAACACGAGUCCGAUAGCGAACAAGUACCGUGAGGGAAAGUUGAAAAGAACUUUGAAGAGAGAGUUCAAUAGUACGUGAAACCACUCAGAGGUAAACGGGUAGAGCUGAAGGCAGCGUUUGGAAUUCAGCUUGGCGCUGGUGUUUUAGUUGUUGUGAGGAUCCCUAAAAAGGACUUUGCGGCAAAUUUGAAUACCAGUGUUGAGUGCACUUUCUGAGCGUUGAAACUGCGACCGAUGAUUAGGCUGGACUGUCAUUCGAAGAAGGUAGUGUUUGUCGCAAGACUCACAUGUUAUAGCUUCGGAUACGGUGGUCUCUGGCUGAACAUCGGGACCGGCGGCUUGUCAACAGUUGGUGGUGGCUUCGGCAUUUUGAUAUUGAAUUCACUUUUUAAAGUGAGUCUUUGUUGAGAUGCCGGCGUCUAUUGCUGCUGGAUGAGCCAAUAGUCAGCAGUGUGCAAGUAGGUCAUCUACCCGACCCGUCUUGAAACACGGACCAAGGAGUUCAGUAUAUGCGCGAGUCAAUGGGCGUUACGAAACCCUACGGCGAAAUGAAAGUAAAGGUGAGCCUUGUGCUUGCUUUCAUGAGAUCCGGAGACUACGGUCAAAGGCGCAUCAUGGGCCUGUGCUAACUUCCUUGCGAAGAGUGCAGAGCUUGAGCGUAUAUACUGAGACCCGAAAGAUGGUGACCUAUACUUGUCCAGGUUGAAGCCAGAGGAAACUCUGGUGGAGGACCGAAGCAGUUCUGACGUGCAAAUCGAUUGUCAGAGAUGAGUAUAGGGGCGAAAGACUAAUCGAACCAUCUAGUAGCUGGUUCCCUCCGAAGUUUCCCUCAGGAUAGCUGGUGCUCGAUUUUGUGUUGUUUGACACGGUAAAGCGAAUGAUUAGAGGUACUGGGGACGAAAUGUCCUCAACCUAUUCUCAAACUUUAAAUGUGUCAGAAGGCGCUGUCACUUAAUUGGACAGCGGCGUCGAAAAAGAGUACCUAGUGGGCCAUUUUUGGUAAGCAGAACUGGCGCUGUGGGAUGAACCAAACGUCUGGUUAAGGUGCCAAACGCGGUCGCUCAUCAGAUACCAAAAAAGGUGUUGGUUGAUAUAGACAGCAGGACGGUGGCCCUGGAAGUCGGAAUCCGCUAAGGAGUGUGUAACAACUCACCUGCCGAAUCAACCAGCCCUGAAAAUGGAUGGCGCUUUAGCGAUGGACCUAUACCGGACCGACAUGAAAUGACUGUCAUGGUAGUUCAUGUCGAGUAGGAGGGUCGCCGUAGUAGCGUAGAAGCUUAUGCCGUGAGGCAGAGUGGAGCUGCUACGGGUGCAGAUCUUGGUGAUAGUAGCAAAUAUCAAGAAAAUCCC